rnacentral:rRNA from 1 species
UGGGGGAAUUUUGGACAAUGGGCGAAAGCCUGAUCCAGCAAUGCCGCGUGUGUGAAGAAGGCCUUCGGGUUGUAAAGCACUUUUGUCCGGAAAGAAAUCCUUGGCUCUAAUACAGUCGGGGGAUGACGGUACCGGAAGAAUAAGUACCGGCUAACUACGUGCCAGCAGCCGCGGUAAUACGUAGGGUGCAAGCGUUAAUCGGAAUUACUGGGCGNAAAGCGUGCGCAGGCGGUUUGCUAAGACCGAUGUGAAAUCCCCGGGCUCAACCUGGGAACUGCAUUGGUGACUGGCAGGCUAGAGUAUGGCAGAGGGGGGUAGAAUUCCACGUGUAGCAGUGAAAUGCGUAGAGAUGUGGAGGAAUACCGAUGGCGAAGGCAGCCCCCUGGGCCAAUACUGACGCUCAUGCACGAAAGCGUGGGGAGCAAAACAGGAUUAGAUACCCUGGUAGUCCACGCCCUAAACGAUGUCAACUAGUUGUUGGGGAUUCAUUUCCUUAGUAACGUAGCUAACGCGUGAAGUUGACCGCCUGGGGAGUACGGUCGCAAGAUUAAAACUCAAAUGAAUUGACGGGGGCUGCAUAGCUGUUUUCCUAG